GUCCUACGGGAGGCAGCAGUGGGGAAUAUUGCACAAUGGGGGAAACCCUGAUGCAGCGACGCCGCGUGAGUGAGGAAGUAUUUCGGUAUGUAAAGCUCUAUCAGCAGGGAAGAAAAUGACGGUACCUGACUAAGAAGCCCCGGCUAACUACGUGCCAGCAGCCGCGGUAAUACGUAGGGGGCAAGCGUUAUCCGGAUUUACUGGGUGUAAAGGGUGCGCAGGCGGAAGAUCAAGUCAGCGGUAAAAUUGAGAGGCUCAACCUCUUCGAGCCGUUGAAACUGGUUUUCUUGAGUGAGCGAGAAGUA
rnacentral:rRNA from 1 species